UACAGAGGUGGCAAGCGUUGUUCGGAAUUACUGGGCGUAAAGGGCGCGUAGGCGGCCUUCUAAGUCAGACGUGAAAUCCCCCGGCUUAACCUGGGAACUGCGUCUGAUACUGGAAGGCUUGAGUGCGGGAGAGGGAUGUGGAAUUCCAGGUGUAGCGGUGAAAUGCGUAGAUAUCUGGAGGAACACCGGUGGCGAAGGCGGCAUCCUGGACCAUUACUGACGCUGAGACGCGAAAGCGUGGGUAGCAAACAGG
rnacentral:rRNA from 1 species